UUUUAGCUUCCCAGAUGGGAUGUGGGUAGCAAGUCUCUGGUUUGUUAUUAUUAGACAGACACCUUUAUCCAAGGAAACUUACAACAUCUGAGAUUUCUUUUGCUUUUCAAAUAGGAGAUGAGAUGCUAUCAGAGAUGGAGCAAUUACAAGAUAUGUGAUUUGGACAUGGUCACAUCUGGGAACAGGAAGGGCACCAGAUGAUGAAUUAUACAUGAUAUGAUGCAUAAAGGAGGAGGACACAUACAUGAAUUGGAAGUUUAUUGUGGACAUCCCAUCCCAGUUUACAUCCAGAGCUGCUGGAUCAAAAGGGCGUGGAAAAUGAUGAGGUUUUCUAGUUUCCUGUGGUGGCGACGUGCGCCAUCACCACCUAAU